CAUCAUUGCACCAACCUUAAGGUUUUUAUAUAUAAAGAGACAGCGUCUACUGGACACCAUUGCAAACAAGCAGUGCCUUCAAUAGCAACAUUAAGGAAAACGAAAAAAACCCUCCAAAAUGUUUAAAUACGUGUUGUUCGCUGCUCUCUUGGCUUUCGCGUCAGCUAAGCCUUUAGUGUACGAGUACCCGGUAGCCGCAGCAUACACGGCUCCGGUAGCCGCGGCCUACACCGCACCAGUCGCCUACUCCGCCUACUCUGCCUACACCGCGCCUGUUGCUGCAUAUUCUGCUUACACAUACGCAUCUCCCUACACUUACUAUGUUCGUUGAAAACAAUGAAUGUUACUAGCUCGACGACAAUCAAGCAAGUCAAUAGUACCUAAUAUUGUAAGAUACAUCGCAGAUUAAAAAUACAUAAAAAAUAUACAUAUUUAUUAAUGAAGCUAUCAUGAAA